AUUGAACGCUGGCGGCAGGCCUAACACAUGCAAGUCGAGCGGAUGAAGGGAGCUUGCUCCUGGAUUCAGCGGCGGACGGGUGAGUAAUGCCUAGGAAUCUGCCUGGUAGUGGGGGAUAACGUCCGGAAACGGGCGCUAAUACCGCAUACGUCCUGAGGGAGAAAGUGGGGGAUCUUCGGACCUCACGCUAUCAGAUGAGCCUAGGUCGGAUUAGCUAGUUGGUGGGGUAAAGGCCUACCAAGGCGACGAUCCGUAACUGGUCUGAGAGGAUGAUCAGUCACACUGGAACGGAGACACGGUCCAGACUCCUACGGGAGGCAGCAGUGGGGAAUAUUAGACAAUGGGCGAAAGCCUGAUCCAGCCAUGCCGCGUGUGUGAAGAAGGUCUUCGGAUUGUAAAGCACUUUAAGUUGGGAGGAAGGGCAGUAAGUUAAUACCUUGCUGUUUUGACGUUACCAACAGAAUAAGCACCGGCUAACUUCGUG
rnacentral:rRNA from 1 species